UAUUUUUAAGGCCGGAUGAGAAUUAGUCUCCCAUUAUCUGGAGACCGAAGUUUACUUCCAUCAAAUUUUUAAAUUUCUAAAAUACCCUCCAUUGAAUUAAAAAUAUAAAUUGCAAAAUAAAAUUAAAAAAACAGCAGCAGCAAAUCCCUAACCGCUGCUGCCAAAAUCGAGCUCCAGCCGACAUUGCAGCCAAACCUCACUGUUACUGCUAAAACCAAGUCGUCGUUAUUGAUCCAUUGGCUGUGGAGCAGUAGAUGUUGCCGGUUUCGUCUUCGUCUGGGUCGUCUCCUUUUGGCUUCAUCUCAGUUUUCUCCGUCUUGGUUUAAUUUCCAUUUCGUCUUUGAUAGCCAUGGUUCUGCUCUGAUGAUGAUGAUGAUGUGGCAAUGAUGAUUUGUUAUCGCCUGUGUUGUUGUUGAUGACGAUGAUUCCGAUUUUGACAUUUAUUUUUGAAUGAUAAUCAUUUUUUAUUCUGAUUUUCAUAUUUUGUUGAUGAUAAUGUUGAUGAUUUUUUAUUCUGAUUAUGUUGAUGAUAAUGAUUCCGAUUUUUUUUUUUUGGUUGAUGAUGAUUUUUUAUUCCGAUUUUUUUAUUAUAAUAAUUCUGAUUUUAAU
rnacentral:lncRNA from 1 species